AAGCUCACAACUAUGACAAGGUUGUUCAAGACUGCAACCAUUUGCGUAGUAAGUUUCUUUGUCAGUGUUACAACAACAAAAAGAACAAGAGUUUCCAGGUACUGAGUUUUGAGGAAAGUUAAAUACAAACCCAAAUAAGAAAGAAGAAAAAAACGGUCACUAUAUGUACACGGGUGGAAACAGAUCUCGUGUUCAGUCUUUGUCUUUUCUUUUAUUUUCAACGGGAUGAUGAAGCGAGAGACCAAAAGUUGAAGAGAAAAGAAGGGAGAGCAGCAAACCAGCUAAUCAAGGCUAAUGCUGUUGAUGUUUCAAACUGAACACAAUGGUUUGCCGAGCAGCUGUUCAGAUCGUUGUCUAUCAGAACCGUUAUCCCUGCCGUUGCAAACGCCGCUGCAAAAGUCAUCGUCGAUGUCACCUGCCAAAAAAGGAGAUUUGCUUAUUUAUCUAUCCAUUCAUACAAGUUUUUUGAUAAAAAUGAGAGGCUAACUGAUUCAUAAAUUGGUUGGUCUCACCCCAUCACCAAUUGCAAACAAGCUAACGAGUCGACGGUUCUGUAGGGAACGUUUGACCAAAAUGGCAUAGACAUCAACUGUGGCUAGUGCAAGACUCCACAAGCUCUGCAAGCCAGUGGCUGCAACUAGAUAGCUGAUGAUAUACAGUCCAAUAAAAAACAGUAAUAAGCCAUCUUUAUAAACAAUCACAAAACCUUGCUUUACUCAUACAAAUAUAACUAAAUAUAUUCACCGACCAUGUGAAAUGGAUUCAUUAUGGCCAAAGCUUAAUGCUAAUACAAACAUUCAUAAUAAUAAGACUUCCUAACAACGUUACUAACAUCACAAAGACAGCUCAUCUAGUUUAUAACCAUAUGAUAUAAACAAAGGAAAAAGGUAGAUACAAUAGCUACCUCACAUAAGUGGACACACGAAUUAAAAUCAAGCAUACACUUUCUUUGAGUACUUUGCUUGUUCAGAGAGAGAGGUUCUUACAACAUUUAGCCAAACUUGCUAGUAAUAAAAUUGUAAAAAAGAAAGACACCAGUGGGCAUCAUAAGUAAAUCCCAUACAACUGUGGGAAUGUGAAUUCAAAGAAAUUCAAAGAUAGUCGUGAGACUAUGGGACACCAGUAGGCAUCAUAACUCUGUCAAGUAGACUGGGAAGCGCCACUAGUGAAUUCGAAAGAUCAAUACCAAACUUAAAAAGAAGAAUCUGAAACCAAUUACCAUCAACAGGGCCUGCACAUUGAUGACGGGCACCAAAGAAACUAAAGCCUGCGUACAGGACAAGGCAAUAAACUACCGUUGCGAGAGAAACUAAGUUACCCACCAAAUAACUGCAUUGACCAACAAAAUCUAACUCAAACCACACAACAAUCCUUUGAAAUAUCAUAUUAUGCCUAAGCUGUAUGAUCCAAAGAGAAGACAAUCUCAAAGAAGCAAGAAAUCCCCAAACGCACAAACUCCUCUUUGGCAAGGGCCAAAACGAAAUACCAAGAGCAUUAAUGUUAUUAUUACAUAGAAGCCAACAAAUCAGUAGACCAAUAUUCCUGAAUCACAGCUAAUCUAAAAACUCCAAUUCCCAGAACCAAAGUUGGUCACUUUAUUCUCAGCAACCUAACAAUGGAGACUAACCGAUUUGAAAACAAAGAGGUACAACCCACGAAUUGGAAUAGAAGUAGAGAGAGUCGAAGACUUACUCAUCCUCAAACAUGAGACGUCUCUGAACAUCAUCCAUUCCAGCAUCUGCCAUUGCUGUACUGGAGAAAGCUCGAAAAGUCGGUAACUUUCUAUCUGAAAGGGGAACGGAAACGGAUCGGAGCGAUGAGAGAGGCAUGUGGUUCAUCGCUGAGACGCUGCUCGAGUUCGCCGAAGUUCAACCAGGAAAUCGAAGCCACUGCCGAGAGAUCAAAUUAUUGGAGAGGAGAGGAGAUUGAAGGAUAAAAACAGAAAGUGCCAGUUCCGCGUUACCCUUCCCCACCUUAAAAUCAACAAAAAAUCAGGAAAGAACAAAGAAAAAAAAGUUGAAUUUGACAGUAAAAUAAAAAGAUGCACAUACCAAGUUGACAGCGGCUUGCUGCACUCUAGGUGGGACUAAAAGUGAGACUGAAUUUUGUUACGCGCAGUUUCUGAUUCUCUAUUUGAAAUACCAUUGACAUACUUUAUCUUUUGGUUUUGACACCUUGACAUACUUUCUGCUGUCAGUGUACUUUGGGCUUAGCUUUUGAUUUUAUCUUGACAAAAUUUCCCCUGGGUGAAAAGAGAAGGUUGAGACUAAAAAUACACCAGUUUCCUUCGCUUGAAAACAGUCACUACAUUCUCCAUUUUUGUAAUUAAUAUGUGUCACAUGAGCUUUUAUCACGACCAUUAGAUUUUUUAAUUUUAAGAUUGAUCCGAUGGCUGGUGUUUAACCCGCGGUCAAAGUAGUUGUGGUUGAGUUGUGUGCGGCCGACAGUUGUGGUUAUGAACUUUGAUGUAGUGAAAAGUGUGGUUAUGGACACAUGAUUGUCGUGGUUAAUGAAAUUAGUUGACAGAAGCGUAGACAAUGGUUGACAACUGAUAGUUGGUGGUUUAGUUGUUUUUGGUUGAGUUGUGUGCGUGGUUAUGGACGCACUGUCGUGGUUAGUAAAAUUAAUUGACAGGAGCUUAGACAAUGGUGUUGGUACGCCCAAAAUUUGUGGUCAUGAUAGUUGUGGUUUAGUUGUGUGUUGGAGUAGAUGUUCAAUCGUCUCCUCAGAAACCUGUGGAUGUGGGCAGAAAUUGGAUAGUCUUUGUGGAUGUGGUCGAAAAUUACAAAUAAAGCUAUUCUCCUUGAAACAAAAAACGAACAAUCCAAGAGAUAGAGACAGAUUCCAUCCUAAUUAUUUGUAAAUGAGUACUAGAAAGACAAAACAAUAAAGAGUUCUGUUUUUUCAAAGACGGAAACAUUAACAGUGUCUUGAUUAAGAACAUCGAUUUGAGAAUAAAGAGCUUUAAUGGUUUCUUCCAUCAGCUUCUCAAAGCUUGCCAGAGCUUCUUGUAGCUUGGCCUCCACCUUCUUCCUUUCUGCUUUACAAUGGCGGUUUGUUCGUCGAACGUUUUUACCUCUGUCGAACGCUUCACGCUGGUGAGCUUCUCCUCGAUCUUACUGUCUCUCUUGUCCAGGAGUUUCCAAGCGGCGAGUAAUAGAUUUUGUUGUCGAUAGAGAAGGAAGACACAAAUCGUGGAUUAUGGUUUGUAAAACUAUUUUCAGAUUAUACACUUUGCUGUCGGCCGAUGAAGAAUGAAUAUAUACAGUCACUCAGGAUUUCUUAGUUUUUCGAUAGAAGAGCAAAAAGUAAAGUAAAAAAAAUACUAUUGGAUAUAAUUAAAAAAAUAGGGACAAUUAGGUGAAUAUACAAAUUUUGAGUGGAAAUUGGUAAAGUGUGCAUAUUUUAAAUUAAUUUGCGAUCCAUGUUAUCGACAUUGGUAAAAAGACAUGAGUAGUCUCUAGUUGAAGUUGUGAACUAUUUGACUUACCCAGUUGCCAGUUAUUUUGUCUUCUUCUAGCAAGCCACAUAUUUUUCGACAAUGACAUGUAGAGACAAAACAAUUAUGCAAGUACAAAAACUCGUUAUAUCAUGUGGGAAAAUGAGCAUUUAAUUCCCGAAGUACUUGAAAUCGGCAGUUUUAAUACUCAAGUAUUGCUUGCGCAUACUUAUUCCCCAACUAAUAGUUGACUGCGCAAAAUUGAGAACAAAAUAGUCAACUGUUAACUGAUGAACGGAAAAAUAACGGUUUCCGUCAACUUUUUAACUGUGGAAUAUUUUAAUCAUGAUUUUGCGCAGUCAAUGAUUAGUUGGAGAACAAAUAUGCGCAUAUAAUACUUGAGUAUUUAAUUUGCCGAUUAAAAAUACUUAAGGAAUUAAAAACAACACUCUUUUUUUUAGAAAAUCAUAAUUUGAAAUAUUCUCAAGUUAGAUAUAACCAAUAUACAAAAGUUUUAUCUAUUAGACAAUUAUAUGUUGUACAUUGGAUCUCUACUUUAGAUGAUCAUAUAUAAUUAUAUGUACUUUACACAUUCAUAUAUUGUAUAUCAGCAAUACAAUGCAAAUGUAAUUAUCUUAUGUUAUUUUUUAUGCUUUUAUAAACUAAAUAAAUCUUUUUCCGGGAUUAAAUAUCUUGUAUAUUAUUUCAAAUUAUGAACCUUUCUAACUAUGAAUUAUUUUAAAAAUCAUCUAAAGUGAUUUAAACAUGAAGUACAUCAACAAUACGAUGUAACUGUAAUUAUUUUGUAUUAUUUUAUAUGUCAUUGUAAAAAAUCAACAAUCUAUUUCUAAAGGUAAAUAUCUCGUAUAAUGAUUUUAUUUAACUUGAAAAUAUUUUUACUUAUGUGUUUUUUUAAGGGAUUGAUGUUAGUGACUUUCAAUCUUAUACGAAAUAUAAAGAAAAAAAUGAGUUUUUAAUUCCUCAAGUAUUUUCAAUCGGAAAAUUAAAUAUUCAAGUAUUAUAUGCGCAUAUUUAUUCCCCAAUUAAUCAUUGACUGCGCAAAAUCAUGAUUAAAAUAUUCCACAGUUAAAAAGUUGACGGAAACCGUUAUUUUUCCGUUCAUCAGUUAACAGUUGACUAUUUUGUUCUCAAUUUUGCGCAGUCAACUAUUAGUUGGGGAAUAAAUAUGCGCAAGCAAUACUUGAGUAUUAAAACUGCCGAUUUCAAAUACUUCGGGAAUUAAAUGCUCAUUUUCCCCCAACAGUAUUGUUUCUUUUUCUAUUUUAUGGUGAGACAUUUUAUAAAAUUCGUUUUGGAAAGCUUCAUGCUGUUGUAUGUGUGGUCCUAACUAAAGGCUUCUAUUUUGUCCCCCUGAAAUGCAAUGAUGCCAAUUGCAAAUUUGUCUCUUAUACGUGUCUCUCUCUAAUUGGUUAAUAAAAGGAGAAUUCUCUCAAGACCCCACUUGCCUUGUGAUACUUAAAGUAGCUCUUUAAUCACCAUUCGUCCUAAAAAUGCUUUCUACGUACAAUAACAUCAAAUUAUUGGCAAAGCAUAUUUGUUUUUUUUUUUUUUAAAAAGGGUUAAACCCGGGUCUAUUAAAGACACAGACUUAUCACAACUAUGACAAGGUUGUUCAAGACUGCAACCAUUUGCGUAGUAAGUUUCUUUGUCAGUGUUACAACAACAAAAAGAACAAGAGUUUCCAGGUACUGAGUUUUGAGGAAAGUUAAAUACAAACCCAAAUAAGAAAGAAGAAAAAAACGGUCACUAUAUGUACACGGGUGGAAACAGAUCUCGUGUUCAGUCUUUGUCUUUUCUUUUAUUUUCAA
rnacentral:lncRNA from 1 species